AAGAAGUUCAACCCUCUAUGUCCACAUGAAGUGUAUGUGAGUUCAACCGUUUUUUUUUUUCCUGCACCACGUUCUCGUCGCGUGAAAGUUGCGACCGGUGAGCCUGAAGGUUGCGACCGGUGCCACAGUUCUCGUCGCCGUAUUUUUCUGGGUUUUCCGGUCGAGGUGUGAAGUAACACCUCUCGUCGACAGCUGCUCAUCGUGGCCUCCGUCACAGUUCCGGGAUUGCUACGGCUUUGAGACGAUGAAGAAGAGAAGAGAUGGCUUUUUUCUUUUCUUGAUUAAAGCUGAGAUCUUUUAAUUUCUCUUUUUCUUGAUUAAAGUUUUCAUCUUUAAUGAUUUCUUAUUCUAUUCCCCCCCCCCCUUUUUUUUUUUUCCUGUAAUUGGGUUAUUUGGAUUUUGAGUGAACCCGGAUUGAUUGAGCUUUAA